rnacentral:lncRNA from 1 species
UUUGUCUACAAUCUUCUACUUCAAUUUUCUCGUCUCUCACUUCCAUCAUUAUAUUAUUCACAGCAAUACAUAUCUUCAAAACUAUGAGAAGCUAACCAAAUAUUAGCACACAAAAAUGUAUGCUCAACAUACAAAUUAAGUUUACUUUUCCUAGUACCCACUAUAAACCUCAUUAUUAUAAAAUAAUAUAUAUCACAUAAAUAUAAUGUAUCCAGUCAUGCUAAUGAGUCAUCUAAAUGACUCAUUGAACACCUUAAAUGACUAUUAACACCCACAUCAGCUGAAAGGGCAUGGAUAAUCUCUAUUAAUGAUAGAAACCUUCUCCGUCUAUAUAAAUGGUGGUCUCUUUCACAAUUAUCAUCAAACAUACAAUACACAAAAAAUUUCAAAUGUCUACACAGCUUAGAAUCUCUCCACGUAAUUCUGUUAAGUCAAAAUGUCAUGUCUCCUACAUGAAGAAGCUGAAACAUGCAAGGGAGUUUAUAAUAUCCGACGUGCGCAUGUGUAUCAAUGCUCCUCCCGGCCAUUUCACAAAAAAAAAGAGAGUAUACAAGAGUCUAUAAAAAUGCAUGCCUCCACAGCUUGGCUAAAUACCCUCUCCAGACACUUUGAUGUUACAAAUCAGUGAUGAAAGCUUGCCUCAAGCAUGGCAAAGGAGUCUAACAAUGUUUUGCAAUCAACAAUUCUCAACAAAGCCUAAAACCUCUCAAGAUCUUAGCUAACCACAAAUAUGCUGAAGUUAACUAUUUUUAUGUCAUGCUUUUGUUGGGCACAUGAGAAUAUGAAGAAGACAUGAAAUGUCAAGAUCUCCAUAAUUGGCAAGCCAACAUAAAUGACUCAUUAACACCUUAAAUGACUAUUAACACCCACAACAGAUGAAAGGGCAUGGCUAAUCUCUAUUAAUGACACAAACGUUCCCGUCUAUAUAAAUGGUUGUCUCUUUUACAAUUAUCAUCAAACAUACAAUACACAAAUACUUUCCAAAUGCAAACACAACUUAGAAUCUCUCUACACAUUUAUGUUAAGUCAAAAGCUGAAGAUGCAUGGGAGUUUACAGUAUCCGACGUGCAAUGUGUAUCAAUGCUUCCCCCGAUCAUUUCA